UGCACUAAUACAACAACUCUGAAGACUAAUGUUGAAUCCACAAAUUCUUCUGGAGAGAAUGCUCCAACACCAAGCACCAAUCUAUCUCAGAUUCCAUCAAAAGAUAUUUCUUUGGUACAGUCUAGCCAUCUAGAUACUAAUUUAGAAUCAAAAACUUAUUCUAAUGAAGGGAAUGCUCCAAUAUCAAGCUCCAAUCUGUUUGAUCAGAAUCCAUCAACGAGAUCUACUUCUUUGAUACAGAUUAGUCAAUCAUCAAGUAAUUUAUCUUCAACUAAUUCAUAUAAUAACCGUAAAUCCUUUAGAGGAACUCGAGCUGGCAAAAUUACUAAAGAAUAUCACCACGCCAAAAGCUUCUCUAUCUUCUUGUGGAGUUUGUUGAAUGAAUGUCAUUCCAGACAUAAUACAUGAAAUAUUAAACUAAUAAAAACAAUCAUGUUUUUUAUUAUUUUGUAAAAAAACAGUAGUAUUGAGA